ACGGGGGGUCCAAGCGUUAUUCGGAAUCAUUGGGUGUAAAGCGCAUGUAGGCGGUUGGGUAUGUCAGAUGUGAAAGCCCGGGGCUUAACCCCGGAAGUGCAUUUGAAACUGCCUGGCUUGAGUCUCGGAGAGGAAAGUGGAAUUCCCAGUGUGGAGGUGGAAUUCGUAGAUAUUGGGAGGAACACCGGUGGCGAAAGCGACUUUCUGGACGAUGACUGACGCUGAGGCACGAAAGUGUGGGUAUCAAACAG
rnacentral:rRNA from 1 species